UAUUAGUUUUUUUUUUUAAAUGACAAAGUGCUGUUAAAUAAUGAAUUCGGUUAAAUUGAGAAAUCUAUUGCAAGUGUAGUGAAGGGAUGAAGAGACAAUUUCAUCUUUUAUCGUGUAGAAAAUGGACUUGUGCACAAUCUUUAGAACGAGUUGCCCUUCAGAAAAGUUUUGAAAAGAAUUCCUGAUGGACUUUUACGUAGAAAACAUGAACUGAAAUAAUCAUGAGAUUUAUAUCUUGUACGGGAAUCAAGCUAAGUGGAUCAAGAGAUAAUUAUUAUUUCCCGUGGAUGAUGGAAAAUAAAAAAAACCUGUUGCUUUAAAAGCACUUAUUUCAAGUUUAACACACAGAGUAUUGUCUCAAUGCAUUGUCUCAAAAAUUUCAAUGAGAUAUAUUGGUGACGCCAAACACAUCCGCAUAUAUUGCAUCGACUGCAUAGUUAUCUCAAGAUGAUGAUUCAAGUAGUCAAUAACUUGUGGUGGUAAACAUUAGCAGUGAAACUUUUCCCCAACACAAACCACAAAUCUGGACUGAGUUAUCUGGCCCACCGCAUGACCAUCGAUUUUUGCAGCGCUAAACCACCUAUCAAACAGACAAUAAAAAAGAAAACAUUUAUAAAUAUUUUUUUUGUAGUUUAAUUGUAG